rnacentral:rRNA from 1 species
UACAGAGGCCUCGAGCGUUAGGCGGAAUCACUGGGCUUAAAGCGUGUGUAGGCGGACUUCUAAGUACCUUGUGAAAUCCCACGGCUUACCCGUGGAACUGCUCGGUAUACUGGGAGUCUUGAGCCACCUAGGGGCGAGUGGAACAAAUGGUGGAGCGGUGAAAUGCGUAGAUAUCAUUUGGAACGCCACUGGUGAAAACAACUCGCUGGGGGUGUGCUGACGCUGAGACACGAAAGCCAGGGGAGCGAACGGG